rnacentral:rRNA from 1 species
UGGGGAAUUUUGGACAAUGGGCGCAAGCCUGAUCCAGCCAUUCCGCGUGCAGGAUGAAGGCCUUCGGUUGUAAACUGCUUUGUACAGAACGAAAAGGCUCUGGUUAAUACCUGGGGCUCAUGACGGUACUGUGAGAAUAAGCACCGGCUAACUACGUGUCAG